GAAUGAUCUAUUGAAUGAAGCUGAUUGAGUUCCUUGUAAAUAAGGAAAGUACGUUGUUGC
rnacentral:rRNA from 1 species